GAUGAACGCUAGCUACAGGCUUAACACAUGCAAGUCGAGGGACCGGCGCACGGGUGAGUAACACGUAUCCCACCUGCCCUUUACUCGGGGAUAGCCUUUCGAAAGAAAGAUUAAUACCCGAUAUAAAGGUUGGGGAUGCGUUCCAUUAGGUUGUGGGUGAGGUAACGGCCCACCCAGCCUUCGAUGGCUAGGGGUUCUGAGAGGAAGGUCCCCCACAAUGGAACUGAGACACGGUCCAAACUCCUACGGGGGGCAGGAGUGAGUGAUAUUGGUCAAUGGGCGGUAGCCUGAACCAGCCAAGUAGCGUGAAGGAGGAAGGCUUAUGGGUCGUAAACUUCUUUUAUAUAAGAAUAUGUAUUAUAUGAAUAAGGAUCGGCUAACUCCGUGCCAGCAGCCGCGGUAAUUC
rnacentral:rRNA from 1 species